ACGGGAGGCAGCAGUGGGGAAUAUUGGACAAUGGGCGGAAGCCUGAUCCAGCAACGCCGCGUGAGGGAUGACGGCCUUCGGGUUGUAAACCUCUUUCAGCACCGGCGAAGCGCCCGUGAGGGUGGUGACGGUAGGUGCAGAAGAAGGACCGGCCAACUACGUGCCAGCAGCCGCGGUAAUACGUAGGGUCCGAGCGUUGUCCGGAAUUAUUGGGCGUAAAGGGCUCGUAGGCGGUUUGUCGCGUCGGGAGUGAAAACUCAGGGCUUAACCCUGAGCCUGCUUCCGAUACGGGCAGACUAGAGGUAUGCAGGGGAGAACGGAAUUCCUGGUGUAGCGGUGAAAUGCGCAGAUAUCAGGAGGAACACCGGUGGCGAAGGCGGUUCUCUGGGCAUUACCUGACGCUGAGGAGCGAAAGUGUGGGGAGCGAACAGGAUUAGAUACCCUGGUA
rnacentral:rRNA from 1 species